rnacentral:lncRNA from 1 species
AACACCGGCAACGCUGGGCCAAUUGUGCACUGCCCCAUGGGUUUCCCAGUCGCGGCCGGCUGCAACAGAGCCUGGACUCGAACCAGGAUCUCUAGUGGUCCAGCUAGCACUGCAAUGCAGUGCCUUAGAUGACUGCGCCACUUGGGAAGCCCGGGCGUGACGUUUUGAUAACCGUGUAAAUCUCUCUGACAAGGUGACUUUUAUCAAUAGUCUCCUGUAUUUACCCCCCAAAAAUGAAAUACUAAAGUAGUUGCUAAUAUGGCUAUCAUACAGAACUACACCUCAUGUUGCAAGCUUUGAUGUCAUCACUCAUGGCAGUGUUGCAUGGUGCGAAAACCUCCUUUAUUACUAUAAUUUGUUUAAUUACCCUGGCCUUUGUAACUAGCUAACUUUAGGCAUAUCUGUCGAUCAGAAGCAAGGAUGGUUCUGUGCUAUAAACCGGAUUGUAACCACUACUCUGAUAAGCGCAAAUUUGUAUUUUAGCAUUUUCCAACCUCUGUAAGCGAGCGGCGUCGCUGGAGCCAUGUGGUAAGGACAAUGACCCAAAACACACCUCCAGGCUGUGUAAGGGCUAUUUGACCAAGGAGAGUGAUGGAGUGCUGCAUCAGAAGACCUGGCCUCCACAAUCACCUGACCUCAACCCAAGUGAGAUGGUUUGGGAUGAGUUGGACCACUGAGUGAAG